rnacentral:rRNA from 1 species
AUACGAAGGGGGCAAGCGUUGUUCGGAAUAACUGGGCGUAAAGCGCACGUAGGCGGAAUGUUAAGUUAGAGGUGAAAUCCCAGGGCUCAACCCUGGAACUGCCUUUAAUACUGGCAAUCUAGAGACCGAGAGAGGUGAGUGGAAUUCCGAGUGUAGAGGUGAAAUUCGUAGAUAUUCGGAGGAACACCAGUGGCGAGGGCGGCUCACUGGCUCGGUACUGACGCUGAGGUGCGAAAGCGUGGGGAGCAAACAGGAUUAGAAACCCUAGUAGUCC